rnacentral:tmRNA from 1 species
GGGGCCGCCCUGGUUUCGACGGGGAUAAUGCGGCCAAAGUUGCAGGUCGAGGGGCUGGGAGGUCCUCGUAAAAACCCAGCACAAUCACAAGUGCCGAAGACAACUUCGAGUACGCUCUCGCUGCCUAAUUAGGCAUGCAAGAGUUUGGCGGCAGAGACCGCCACAUCCGUGCGGCCGAGGCUCCAUACGCCGCAUCCGGGUGUCACCCCCAUGGGGCUGGCAAAGGUCCGUAGCCAGAACGGACCGGCGCGAGACUCCUUCUGGCUGGCCGGUCGGACGCCCGUCCUGGGGCUCCCCGCCCGGCAAGAAUGAAAACCAGGACUAAACCUGUAGACGCUUUGCGCCAAGUGUUCUCGGACGCGGGUUCGAUUCCCGCCGGCUCCACCA